UUUCUUAUACCACUAACAAUUUAUCGAUUUGUUGGAAUUUGUUAUUUCCAAGCAGAAAGAUGUCCGUGGCCCUCCUCUUAUCUUUGAUACAGAGGCUGGACAUUAGUUAUUAUCGAGAGAAUGAAACAAAUAGGGAAAUGGAAAGGGUAAUUAAAGAGAUGAGAGAGAUUCUGGAUAUUGUGAGGGAUAAGAAAUUGGAAGAGGGAAGAAGCCUCAAUUUUUUUGUAUCUGACCUUAUCGACAUGGUUGACCAUGCCAUCGACCUUUCCAUACGAAUCCAAGACUACUAUAUAUAUAGGAGCUAUGAGUCCAUCCAUAGUUGGAUCGGAGAGAUCAAAAAGCGCAUGCUGAAACUGGGAGAUGAUGAGUCCAACAUGACAUCAUCAGAAAAUGUUGACGACAACUAUGUGGUGGGCUUGGAGGAAGAUGUGGAAAUGCUGCUUCGCAGAAGCAUUAUUGGUGGGGAAGAUGACAAAAGAUACGUGGAGACUGUUGUUAUCAAAGGGAUGUGUGGUAUUGGAAAGACAACUCUUGCGAGAGAGAUAUACAACCAUCCAACCGUCGUUGCGCGAUUCAAGCGUCGUCGUCUUUGGGUAUCUAACUCUACUGACCUCACUAUUAAAGAGCUACUUAUCAAACUAAUACAACAGGUAGAAGACCCUCAGAAUCUCCAUACAUCUUCGUUAUUGGAGAAUAUGGACAACCGAAGCCUCCGAGUUAUGCUUACCCAACACCUGCAAGGAACACCAUAUUUUAUAGUUCUCGACGACAUGCCCAAACAAAUGCACUUGAAGUCGUUCUUGGAAGCUCUUCCACGAGAAAGUAUGUAUGCUCAUCUUUCUGCUUAUGAUUUUAACAUAGAUUUUAAGUUUUUGUGAUUAAAGUUAAAAUAAAUUCCAAAGAUUAUUAGUGUGCAAUAGUUUUCUUUAAAAAAAUAUAUAUGACUGAUCAAGAAAUCUAACAAUUUAAUUUCUAGACUGAAUAACCUUCCUUUUUGUAUUGUUCCUAUGUAAGCAGACAAUGGAAACAGAUUGCUCCUCACGAGUCACAUAACUCAUAGGGACAUAUAUGUACGUGAUGAAGAUGUUCAUCGGAUGAAACCUUUGGAUUCUAAGCAGAGUUGGCAAUUGUUUCUAAAAACAAUAAACCAUGGCAAUAAAUUGACGGGUGAGCACAAAUUCCCAAUGAAGUUGGAGCAUAUGGGAAAACAAAUGUUGAGAAAAUGUGGCGGUCUGCCAUUAGCUAUAAAAGAGGUGGGAAAGCAAUUAGCGGAAAAGAAAGUCUCAGGGGAGAGCGAAUGGGAACAACUUCUUGAAUCAGUUGAUUUUGGUUCAACAUUGAAGUUAUUGGAACCAUAUUAUCAGAAAUUGGAUCCCGACGUCCUAUCUUGUUUCAUGUCUAUGUCUUUCUUUAAAGAAAAUACAACUUUGAGGGCAGAAAAGUUGACACAGAUUUGGGUUGCAGGAGGAGUAGUGGAUGCAGCACAUCAAUGUAAAUUAUAUUUAGAUGGUUUAAUUAAUGAAUCUGUUAUUGAUGUUAAGGGAAAGAGCAAGAAGUAUUGCAUGAAUGUUGUGCUACACAUGCUAUCCGUCCAAAAAGCAGAGGAGAAAUUAGGCCUUGAGAUCCUAAGGAACAACGGAAAUAAUCGACCCUUUGAGAGUCCUCGUAAUCAUCGUGUUAUCAUUUGUAGCAGAGACAAGUUCAACUACUCCACAGAUCAAGAUAAACAUCUUGUUUCUCUCUUCUUCCAUGGAGGUGGCUACGUCGACACUAGUUCGUCUUAUUGGAAGAUCUUUGAACAACGACUGAGGAUACUGGACUUGGAAGAUUUUGGGUUGAAGAUUUUACCGGAAACUAUCGGCACAUUGAUGGAAUUAAGAUACUUAGGGUUGAGAAAUAAUUACAUUAAAGAGUUGCCACAGUCGUUGGGGUGCUUGAAAAACCUCGAGGUUCUUGAUAUAGCUCAAAACUUUAUGGUGGAGGUGCCAGAUAUUAUAUGGGAAUUGUGUAGCCUUCGCCACCUCUACAUGUCUAAUGUGACUUGUCUGAAGCCUUUAAAGAUUGAUGCGCUACGGGAUCUACAGACCUUAACUUAUGUCUCAGUUGAUAAUUGGACAUAUGAGCUCUCGGGUUUAAAAGAGUUGAUGUGGCUUAAGAAAUUGGGCAUAGAAGAAUUGGAUGGAAACUCAGAUGUAAGCAAGCUCUUUGAGACAUUGGCUGUGUUGGAGGGUCUUAAACACCUAAUCUUAAGAGGGUAUCGUUUCAGAAGCAUGCCUUGUUUGGAUGAGCUUGCUAUUCUACAUAGGCUCGAAACACUCAAAUUGGAUGGACUCCUCACCAGGUUACCAAAUAAUCUCCCUCGAUUUAUUGAAUCAUUGACGUUGGUUAAUAGCUGUCUUGAUGAAGACCCAAUGCCACUACUAGAGAAGCUACCAAAGCUAAAACACCUCAAAUUGCGGAAUGCAUUCACUGGUCAACAAAUGGUGAUCUUGCACGACGGCUUCCCUUGUCUCAAAGUCUUGUGCAUCGAAGAGUUAUGGAAUCUGAGAAAUGUACAAUGUGGAAAAGGUGCAAUGCAAUGGCUCAAUAAAUUAGAAAUCCAUGAUUGUCCAUAUUUGGAUACCUUCCCAGAAGCGAUUUUGUCGACUUAUCAUAUGAAAGAGAUAAAGAUGGUGACAACCAAAAGGAUUGCAACAAAGAUGAGGAAUUCAGACUUAAUCUCCAAAAUAAAGGUCGUGAAUAUCAAUCCAUGAGCUCGCGCAGUUGUCUACAUUUCUUUCUUUUUUUUGUUUGGUAGUUGUGUGUUUGAAAUAUUGAUAGUGGAGAAAGGGUCUGAUAUUGAGAGUAUUGUUUAAAUAGAUUGUGGGUAAAUAUUGUAAGUUACAAGGAUAAAAUUGUGAAAGUUAUGUGUGGGGUAGUGUUCAUUUAUCAUAUUCUGCAAAUCUUGCGUGUAAAUUAAAACACAAAAAUAUGCGAUAUGAGGUUAAUGUUCAAGACCUGAUGUCAUGGGUUCGAGUCCUCCGUCGUGCGGUCUUUGAAUUUUUUUAUUUACUUAUGUAAUUUAUCCAAAAAAAAUCACAAAAAUAUGAUGUGUUGUAAGAUGAGGACAUCCGUAAUGAAAUAUAAAAUAUUAAUUUAAUAUUAAAUAAAUAAUAAUUAGAAUUAACUAAUUUUGAUUAGUUAUAUUAGUUUAAAAUUAAUUAAUCUAUAUAUAUGUAAAAUUAAUUCUUGUGACUACUGUGGCACCACUCCCAAUUCCAGAGAAGUUAAAAUUGUGCAAAUAACAUACUAUUGUAUAUAAUUAUUACUUUUAAUAAGCAUGAAAUAUACAUUUGUUCGCACAAAUGUAUACUUAUAUAAAUAUAGGUAUUUACCUUUAUUUAAUAUAAAGUAUUAUAUUUUCUAAACCCUAAAUUCUAUAAACUAAACCCUAAACCCUGUAAACUAAACCCUAAGCCUGAACACUAAACCCUAAACCCUGUAAACUAAACCCUAAGCCUGAACACUAAACCCUAAUAGGAGUAUUUACUUUUAAUAAGCAUAAGAUAUACAUUUGGUCGCACAAAUGUAUACUUAUAUUAAUAUAAAUAUUUACCUUCAUUCAAUAUAAAACAUUAUACAUAUCAAUAUACAUUUAUAUGAACAAAUGUAUAUAUUAUGUUUAUUAAAAGUAACAAUUAUUAUAAACAAAUGUAAUAAUUAGGAGUAUGGGUCAAACCCACGCGGGUCAGGAGGGCGGGUUUGGAGCCGGGUCGACCCGUCGCACACCUGUGCGACGGUCGCACCCAAUAAUCUGCGAAAAAAAAUUAUUUUGAACCUAAUUUUUUUCUAUAUGAUAAUUUAUGAUCGACACAAUGUGAUCAAAUAACACUUCUCAUUCAAUUAAUAAUAAGGUAUAACAUAUACAGCAGCUUCCAAUAAGCUCAAUAGUGACAUGUAAUUAGAGCAUUUUGUGCAUGGCAUGGUGGAGAGUGACAGCAAGCGAGCCAUUAACAUUAUUAAGUUAUUGCCAAUUAACUCUUGCCGUGAAGAACUCAUGACGCUCCCUGAUUUUUUCAUUCACCAUGUGAAAAGAGACCGAAAUGUUAUCGCGCAUUAUUUAGCGAAAGCUGCGAGAGAUAUCGAUUUACGUCAUGUUUAGAAUAAACCUCCGGCCUUUGUGGUGGGUCAUCUCCAUUUACCAUGUUCUUGUGAUUAAUAAUAUUACCUCUCGUUCCUUCAAAAAAAAAGCUACAAAAUAAUCAUUAAAAAUUAAAAUGAACAUGAAAGAAUUAGAAAAUUUCAAGCAUAUAGUAUGGUGCGCCUGGCUGUCAAGCCCAAAAUAAUCAAAUUGGGUUGGGCCAAAUAGAUCAUCAGUUCAAUUUUUUAUUUUAUUUUUGUCAUCACUUCAAUUAUGCGUCUUACUACAAACUUCUUCUUUUUCUGAAAAAAAUAAAGAAAUUAAUUGAAUGUGAGACUUUUUUUAAAAAAAUUAACAGUAUUAAAUAAAGAAAUUUAAAGGUCGCGCCACAUGGGACUCGAACCCAAAACUUUUGACCUUAGCUAUUAAUCCCUUAUCGCUUAUCGAACACACGCACACAAUUGAAUGUUUGACAUCAGGUAGGGGCAUUUAAGUACUGCAACUUUUGAAUCUCUUGUGGUUGAUUUUACAAAAAUAAGAAGAGAAAUUACAAAAGGGUAACUAUUUUGUUCUCCGUAGAUUAGAUAAAUUUUAAAAUUCACGUGUUAAUGUCUUAAUGAUGUUUUCAAUUAUAUCGUAAUUAAAUUCACAUUAUAAUGAUGUUCUUAUAAAGAGUGAAAUUUUUGAAAUCUUUUGGCUUGAGUAAAUUCAGUUCAAUCCAAAAUCAUUUUUUUCUAUAUACUCCCUCUGUCCCAUAUAUAUAUAUAUAGGUUGAUUGGAAUUAACACAAGGAUUAAGAAAAAUCAUUGGAAAUGAAAAAAAAUAGUAAACUUCCUAAUAUGGCCAUAUUUAUUAUGUAAUGAUGAAUUAAAGUUGAAGUAAAUUAAAGAAUUAAAUAGGGAUAUAAUAAUAAAUGAGUAAAAAACAUUACAAUUUAUGAAAAAAAAAAUCUAUAUAUUUGGGACAUACAUUAAAGGAAAACAAGCCCAUAUAAAUGGAACGGAGGGAGUAUAUUAAUAAUGCUGUCAAAUUGGCUAUUAGGACAGUUUGGUGGAAGCAGAAACAUGUCGGAGGGCUUCCUCUUAUCGGUGAUACAGAAGCUCGACAUUAGUUAUCCAGAUUAUGAAACAAAUGUGGAAAUGGAAUGGGUAAUUAAAGAGAUGAGAGAUAUUCUGGAUAUCAUGAGGGAUAAGAAAUUGGGAGAUGGGAUAAGGCUAAAUUUUUUGGUAUCUGACAUUGUCGACGUGGCUGAAGAUGCCCUCGGCCUUUUCAUAGAUAGUUGGAUCGGAGAGAUCAGAAGGCAGAUGCUUAAACUAGGAGAUGAUGAGUCCAACAUGAGAUCAUCACAAAAUGUUGAAGAUGAUGUAGAUGUGGUUGGCUUGGAGGAAGAUGUGGAAAUGUUGCUUCGCAAAAGGAUUCUUGAUGGGGCAGAAUACCUGAAGACUGUUGUUAUCAAAGGGAUGUGCGGUAUUGGAAAGACAACCCUUGCCAGAGAGAUAUACAACCAUCCAACCGUCGUUGAGCGAUUCGAGCGCCGUGCUUGGGUGUCUAAUUCUACUUACUUCACUAUGAAAGAGCUACAACCAUCCAACCGUCGUUGAGCGCUGAGCUUAUAAGCUCUUUUAAAGUGUUUAACAAAAUAAGCUCGAGCUUAUAUAAGCUAUCCAAAAUUAAGUUAUUCUACCUCAAUUUAUUUUCUCAUUAUCUUAUAAGCAACACUCAUUUUAUAAAAAUAACUCAAUUAUGAUUUUUUAUUUUAUCAUAUACUCCUUUCGUCCACAAAAAAUAGUUGUAGUAAAGGACGACACAUAUUUUAAUAAAAAUUGUUAUUGUAUUGUGAGUAGAGAAAAGAUCCCACUUAAAAUGUAUGUUUAUAAUAAGUAGUAGUAUUUAUAAGAGUCAGGGGAUUUUUUAGGACAUUAACUUAGAUUGAUUUGAAAAUUAGGACAAUAACUUUCGGACUUGUAAAAAUAGGACACUAAUUAUUUUUUUAGAGUAAAAUAGGACACUAAUUAAUAAGCGUCGUAAAAAUAGGACAUUUCUCAGCCAAUAAUUGGCUAAAAAAUGUCCUGCGGAUGCAACACUUUAUUAAUUAGUGUCCUAUUUUACUCUAAAAAAAAUUAGUGUCCCUAAUUUUUACAAGUCCGAAAGUUAUUGUCCUAAUUUCCAAAUCAAUCUAAGUUACUGUCCUAAAAAACCCUCGAACUCUUACAAGAUGUAUCUAAUAUAUAAUCAAAUAAGUAACUAGCACGCAGAUGAGACAUUUACAUCACACAAAAUUAUGAAAAUAACCGCACAUAGGUGAAACUACUACUCACACAAAAUGAGAAAACUACCUGCACACGCAGGCGGAAUUGAUGAACUCAAGACCUCUCACAAACGUAACAUCAAAUUUAGGCCUCGUAAGUGACCGAACUUUUUUAUUUGACCGAAUUUAUUUUUCAUGUCGUGCAAUUUUAGAUUUUGCGUAAGACCCUAAAUUAAUCCAAGAGUCUCAUAACGUGUUGUUGCAUUAAAUUACCAAUUUAAAUCUAGCAAUUGACGUUGUUGACCAUGACCAAAAGUCUUUAUAAAGAAAUAGUCUCUUAUUUAUAUUAUGAUUUAUUUAUUUAGUUCAUUAUGCCAUGAUUGUCUGUAUAAUGGUCUCAUAAAUUCGAAACAUUUAUUUAUAUCACCUUGUAACACAAAAAUAUGCAUGCAUGAGAUGUUUUACGUGUUUAUAUCUUGAAACAAAUCCAUCGCUAAUUAUAUGUUUACAAAUUUAUUGGUAUAUCAUUAUAUUUAAAUUAAAAUAUUGUCUUAUUUUACGAAUAUCACUCAACAAUCCCCCAUUUAAGGACAUUUAUAGGCAAAAUACUAAGAAUUUGAAUAGGAAAAUGACUCCUCUUAAACUUAGAAUAAGACUAUGAUUCUUUGUGCUUAUCUCGUAUCUCUGACGUGAUCUUGACUUCGGACUCAAGUUGGCUGAGGGCGUCAUGUUCUUCGGGGAUAGGGUUGACUUCCGCAAUAUUAGGCUUGUUCCGUUGAAGGCAGUGCUGUUCAGGGACUGACAGCACUGUUUUAGGGUCAACAGCGUUGUUCUUUGGGAAUCUCUCAAAUCCUUCGUUAUUUUCCUCCGAUAUCUCUGGGAUGCAUAAUUUUGUCCUCAUCAGGUUCACAAUGGAAUAAUUACUGUGAAUUUUUUAAAAAUAAUUAUAAGCAUUUUCUUAUAUUUGGAUUCGAUUUAAUAAUUAUAUUUAUUUAUUUAAAAUAACAUUCAAUUUCGAUACUCGCCGUGCAUCGCACGGGCGGACGUACUAGUUACCCAAGAAACGCAAGUAAUAAUUCGUCUACCAAUUUAUUUCCUACUAUCAAUACCAUAUCUUCGUCACUAAUUAGCCCGAUUCCAACAAUUUCAAAUUUGGGGGGACUAAUUGACACUAAUCUAAAAUUAACCUAAGGUGAUCAGACUCAAGAAAACCAGAUUAAAGCACUCUGCUCAUGAAACAAAUCAAAUUGAAUCAAUUAAACACACAAUUAGGUCUCACAAAUUUUAGACUAGAGUUUCAUUAUUCUUACCGAAUCAAGAAAUUAAUUAGCUACUCAUAAUUUUGAAAUAAAACAUAAUUAAAUUGAACAAAGAAAACAUAACUAAUAAUCUAAAGAAUUGAAAUAAAUAGAAAUUAUUACCAGAAACUUCAAUGUGAUGCCCCGCUCUUUUAAAUACAUAUUAGAUUAAAUAUGUGCAUUAGUUAUAAAAUUCUUUUAAUUAUUUAUGGUGAUUAUUUUAUUUAGAUAAUAUUAUUUCAGCAAAAGUCUGUAUAAGAGAUACAGAGCUGCGAUUUAAUAUUCAGUCAUGAAUGAAACCAAUAAUUAAAUUUAUUGGUUUAACUAUACGUUUGAGACUUUGUUUUACCAGUUUAUUGAUUUAAUCAAUAUUAUUAGAAAAUUUAGAUUUAUAACCGAUUUUAUAAAUCGUGUUAUUUAAAUCAAAUUGCUAGAAUUAUAACUUGAGAUCAUAUGCAUAAUAAUUUUAUUAUUUCGCAUUAUAUGAGUUAAGGUAUUAAGUCGCGAAUUAAUUCCGACUUUCACGUAUUAAAUCUCAAGAUUGAGGAUUUAAUUUAUAUAAAUACGACGAGUAUUUAUUAAACGAGAAUUGGAGAAUUAUUACAGGAACUAGGAGAAACUAGAUCACGGCACUACACGUAUGUCUCGAUUUUUCAUCCAACACAUCAAUUCCUACACUAUUUCCUACACUAUUCCCUACACUAUUACCUAUACUAUUCACCUUCCCCUCCAAUACACCAUUACUGCAGAAGGAGAUUGUAAAGAUUGCAGAUUUCUUCCUGUAGUAUAUCUGAACUCCAUCACACCCCAAAGUCUCCUGUAGGAGAAGAAAAUCACGCCAAUAUCCACAAUUUUCAAAAGACUUCAGCACGCCGAGAAAGAAAUUUCACGGUAAGAUCACAAUUGUCAAAGGAUAGUAAAUUUCAACGAUCAAAUCUUACAAAAGUUGCAACUCCAAGGUACCAAAAUUUCCACCAUUUUGAUUCUGUUGUCUGCAGAAACUCCUCUAUAAAUUGAGGAGAGUUCUGCAGAAGGAAGAAGUGCAGCGAGCAAGAGAGAGUUUGAGAUUUGUUUUUUUUUACUUGCAAGAGCUCAAGUGAGCUCCCUUCGCCGGGCCAUUUCUUCGUCGACCGGCCACUAGGCUCUGAACCGAGAACGUGUACUCGUUCCUCCAUCUUUAGGCUACCAAACCCAACAAUCGAAAGGCCGAAACCUUCUCUAUAUUUUCCCGACCAAAGGCCACAAUAUCCUUCGGAGGCCAACGUCGAAUUCCCGACUUAGCCACCGGCCAACUUACGGCCUUCGUUCUCACUAUCCUUACGACGAAAAAGGAUACGAGAAACCACCGUUGUGUAGCCUGAUCUAUCUCGCACGAGGAAACUAAGUCGUAGACCUUCGCGGCUAACCCCAUCGCGGAACGACGACCAGAAAAAAACCCCGGCGAACAACUUCCAUUAGUGCUCACUUGGACAAGGGUAAGUUGACGCCCUUAUUUCGAUGCAUUCCCGUUUCUAUUAUAUUAUGAGAAAUUUCUGGGGUAUAGAUGGGAGUGUGGUAAAUAUUCGUACAAAGUUUCAUAUCAUUUGAACUUCGUUUACUACCCUUUUAAAAUUCGAGAAGUCUACUGCCCGUAUCUGCUAAAACUGUCGUGAGGCAGAUGAUUAGGUUAAUUAUUUCAGUAACCAUAUGUUGAUAUUUAGCUCUCAAAGUUUUAUUCUAUGAAGAUAUAUGUGUUAGCUAUCUACAUAUAAAAUUUGAGCUCAUUCAGGUAACGUUUGCUAUUUUUCAAAAAUCUGGACUUUCAGUUGGCAGAAACUGCCGAAUCUGGUAGGCGAUGGGAAAAUCGCUAUAUCUCUUAAACUACUUGGAGUUUUUCAACAUACUUUUUUUUCAAUUAAACUAGACUCAAAGAGGUUUCUAUUGAUAUAAAAUUCGACUCCAUACGAGUUCGGAGUAAAAGCAGUUUAUUAGUUGAAGUUGAAUCUAUACAGUUUUGUUGAGAUUGAAAUGAUUCUAAAUAAUUCCUAUUAAGGAUUUUAAAGUUUUAUUGUUGAUAAAAUAUCACUUUUAGUUUAUAAAUGAGCUAUUGAGAUAUAUAAAUAUUUUGGAGAAAGAUUUCAUGAGAACUUGUUGGUAAAAUUAUAUUAGAUGGAAUAGUUGAUAAAUGAAAUAUUAAAGAUUUAUUAAUUAAAUGGUUAAAAUAUUAAAAUUAUUAGAUCCUCUCGAAAAUUUCUUUUUAUAGUUAACUCCUUUUAUUAUUUUAAAAUAUUUUUACAAAUGUUCCUAAAAUCUCACAAUGAAAUUUUCAUCAGGAAUUAAUUUAUUAAUGACUUAUUAGUUCUUUUAAUAGUAGCAAUAUAUAUAUAUUGAUUGGCAUUAUUAAAUGGGGAAAAGGAAAAUAUUUUAUAAAUUAUUCUUUAUUUAUAAUGGAUAAAUAAAGGAAUAAUAUAAAAUGGGCUUUCCUACAUCCUCAAAGGUACAUGAAGUAUUUCGAUAAAAGAAGAACGAUUGUAUAUGAGUUAGAUACAGUCGUUUAAGGAAAUAUGGGUAGUUAGAGAAAUGAGUGAAUAGUGAUUCACUGCAUUUGUUGUUAUCUUUUCUAUUAUUCACUCGAACACAUGUUUCGUGUUAUNAGAAAUCUUUCGCUUCAGGAAAUUUUGAUAAACCCAAAAUCAUUUGGAUGCCUAGAAAAAAUUGAUAUUCGUGUUAGUAUUUUUUAUUUUUUUUUUUAUAAAAUUCUAGUCUUGUGUCUUAAUAUCUGUCAGUUCAAUUAUUCUUUUGCAAUAUGAAGAAUAAUAUGCUACAAAAAAUUGAAGAAUAAUGAAGGUAUGGUGAAGAAAAGCCUUGAAAAUAUAAAUGAAUAAUAUCACGUUUGAUUGAAACACGCACAAUCUGAUGAGACUUUACAAAUUUUAUUUCUUUUUUGUUUGAUUCUCAUGGGUGUAGAACAUUUCCUUUUCUUAUUUUUGCUUUUACGUAUAAAAGAUCCGGUCAUCGUUGUCGUUAUAGAAUCUAAAAAUAAUGUAAAUUUUUUUAUUUGUGAUUCUUCUUCUUUUCCUUCCGAUGAUGAUUAUUAAUCGGUUAUGCUAUUUAAUAAGUAGUUUAGAUGAUGAGCUAAAUGGGAUUGGAAGAAAGUAGUAUUGUUUUCCUACUCGUUGUCUAUUAAGAAAUCAAUUGUUGUAAAUAAAAGCAUUGUCUAUUGAAGGGCGGUCAUAGACAACAAUUGUCUAUUCUCUGAUAGACAAUGUAGCGUUGUCUAUUCUCCGAUAACAUAUGUUAUGAUGCAAACAAAAUCUAUAACGAUAAUUUAUGUUAUGUUUUGCUUUGCUUUGAAAUGUUACGACGUUUAUAAAUUACAGUGAUCAAUUUUGAAGAGUUCAAACUAAUUCAGAGUUCUAAUUGGAGUAAGAUUGUGUGUUCAUUUAUAAAGAGUCAGAUUUUUUAAAUCUUUUGCUUGACUAAAUUCGGUUCAAUCCAGAAUCAUUUUUAUUCUACACUAACAAUUCAUCGAUUGGUUAUUUCCAAGGAGAGACACGUCAGAGGACCGCCUCUUAUCGGCGAUACAGAUGCUCGACAUUAAUAAAUAUGGAGAGGACACGAGGGUAAAUGAGAUAAUUGAAAGCGUAAUUAAAGAGAUGAGAGAGAUUGUGGAUAUUGUGAGGGAUAAGAAAUUGAAAGAGGGGAGAACCCUCAAUUUUUUGGUAUCUGACCUUGUCGGCAUGGCUAAAGAUGUCCUCGACCUUUUCACAGAAGGCAGCUUCAAUUAUGUAUAUUAUGAGUUUGAGCUCAUCUAUACUCAGAACGAUAAUUCUAUCUAUAAUUGGAUGGGAGAGAUCAAAAAGUGCAUGCUUAAACUGGGAGAUGAUGGGUCAGAGAUGGAGUCCAACAUGACAUCAACAGAAAAUGUUGAUGACAAAUAUCCAGUGGUGGGGUUGGACGAAGAUGUGGAAAUGCUGCUUCGCAGAAGCAUUAUUGGUGGGGGAGGAUCAAUGGUGAUAGUUAUCAAAGGGAUGUGUGGUAUUGGAAAGACAACUCUUGCCAGAGAGAUAUUCAACCAUCCAACCGUCAUUAAGGAAUUCGAGCUCCGUGCUUGGGUAUCUAAUUCUACUUACUUCACUAUUAAAGAGCUACUUAUCAAACUCAUACAACAGGUACAAGAUCCUCAUACAUCUUCCUUAUUGGAGAAUAUGGACAACCGAAGCCUCCGAGAUAUGCUUCACCAAUACCUGCGAGGAAAGCGAUUUCUUAUAGUUCUCGACGACCUGCCCAAACAAAUGAACUUGAAGUACUCUUUCUUGGAAACUCUUCCAUAUGAAGGUAUGUAUGAUCAUCUUUCUGCUUAUGAUCUAGUCGUGUUGCUCUAACUUAGAUUUUAAUUUAAAUUUUUGUUAUUAAAUUUAAAAUAAAUUCUAAUGAUUAUUAGUGUCCAAUAGUUUGCUUUUUUUUAGAAAAAAAAAAUAUAUGACUGAAUCAAGUAAUCUAACAAUUCAAAUUUCCAGACUCAAUAACCUUCCUUUUCGUAUUGUUCUUAUGUAAGCAGAGAAUGGAAGUAGAUUGUUGUUCACAAGUCACACAAUACAUAUGGAUAUAUAUAUAGACGAAGAAGAUGUUCAUGAGAUGAAACCUUUGGAUUCUAAGAAAAGCUGGCAAUUGUUUUUGAAAACAAUAAACCAUGGCAAUAAAUUGACAGGUGAGCACAAAUUCCCAAUGAACUUGGAGCAUAUGGGAAAACAAAUGUUGAGAAAAUGUGGCGGUCUGCCAUUAGGUAUAAAAGAGGUGGGAAAGCAGUUAGCAGAAAAGAAAAUCUCAGGGGGGAGUGAAUGGGAACAACUUCUUGAAUCAGUUGAUUUUAGUUCAAUAUUGAAGUUAUUGGAACCAUAUUAUCAUAAACUGGAUCCUAAAUUGGAUUCAUGUUUCAUGUGUAUGGCCUUCUUUAAGGAAAAUACGACUUUGAGGAAAGAAAAGUUGACACAGAUUUGGGUUGCUGGAGGAGUGGUUUCAAGAAUGGACUGUGAAUCAUAUUUAUAUGGUUUAAUCAAUGAAUCUGUUAUUGCAGUCGAGAACAAGAGCACGGAGUAUAGCAUGAAUACUCUGCUACAUAUGCUAUCCAUCCAAAAAGCUGAGGAGAAACUAGGUUUUGAGAUCCUAAGGAACAACAAAAUUAAUCGACCCUUUGAGAGUCCUCGUCAUCAUCGUGUUAUCAUUUGUAGCAGAGACAAGUUCAACUACUCCACGGAUCAAGAUAAACAUCUUGUUUCUCUCUUCUUCCAUGGAGGUGGCUACUUGGACACUAGUCCAUCCUAUUGGAAGAGCUUUGAUCAACGACUUAGGAUACUUGACUUGGAAGAUUUUGGGCUGAAGAAUUUACCGGAAAGUAUUGGCACAUUGAUUGAAUUAAGUUACUUGGGAUUGAGAAAUAAUCACAUACUAGAGCUCCCAGACUCGUUGGGGUGGUUGAAAAAGCUAGAGGUUCUUGAUAUAGCUCAAAACUUUAUGGUGGAGGUGCCAGAUAUUAUAUGGGAAAUGUGUAGCCUUCGCCACCUCUACUUGUCUGAUGUGAUUUGCCGAAAGCCUUUGAAGAUAGACGCGCUACAGUUUCUGGAGACCUUAACCUACGUCUCGGUUGAUAAUUGGACAUAUGACCUCUCGAGCUUAAAAAAAUUAACUUUGCUUGAGAAAUUGGGCAUAGAAGAAUUGGAUGAAAACUCAGAUAUAAGCAAGCUCUUUCCAUCAUUGGCGAAGUUGGAACAUUUUAGAAUCCUAAUCUUAAGAGGGUAUCGUUUCAGAAGCAUGCCUUGUUUGGAUGACCUUGGUAUUUUACAUAAAGUUCAUACUCUGAAAUUGGAUGGACUUCUUGUGAGGCUUCCAACUAGUUUCCCUCCACAGAUUAAAUCAUUGACGUUGGUUAAUAGUUGUCUUGAUGAAGACCCCAUGCCACUACUAGGGAAGCUACCUUGUCUAAAUUACCUCAAAUUGCGGAAUGCAUACACUGGUCAACAAAUGGUAAUCUUGCGCAACGGCUUCUGUGGUCUCAGAGUCCUGUGCAUCGAAGAGUUAUGGAAUCUGAGAAAUGUACAAGUUGGAGAGAGUGGAAUGUGUUUUCUCAACAAAUUAGAAAUCCAUGAUUGUCCAUAUCUGGAUACCCUCCCGAAAGCGAUUGGGUUGAUGAACCAUCUGAAGGAGUUNGAUACAGAAGCUAGACAUCAAUUAUCGAGAGAAUGAAACAAAUAAGGAAAUGGAAAGGGUAAUGAAAGAGAUGAGAGAGAUUAUGGAUAUUGUGAGGGAUAAGAAACUGGAAGAGGGAAGAAUCCUCAAUGUUUUAGUAUCUGACCUUGUCGACAUGGCUGACGAUGCACUCGAC
rnacentral:lncRNA from 1 species